AGACAUGGGAGGGCAGGGGCAAGAACGGCAGCCUCUCCCUAGCUCACAUCUCACCAGGGUUGGCUAAGCAGUCCUCCCCUUGCCCCACGAGUGGCAGGACAGCUCCCAACACUUCUCUAGGCUUAAAGUACAUGUGGAAGGGCGAGCCUCCCAGGAUUCUCAAACAGAAGCAGCCUGCCAGGCUGAGCCAUCCAGAAGACCCCCUCCCUCUUCCCUGAGCUCUGUUUCUUCCAUGAGGUUGAAGAAAAAUGCCGUCGUGGUCCCCUGCCUGCUUACUCAGCGUGUCAAGCAGGAGUUCUCAGCUCCAGUGUGCCAUGGAGGGCCUUGGGAAGAGGUCACAUACCAUUCCCAUCCCCAGGUCAGGCUAGACUCCAGGCCAGGUUCCUCCACUGCCCUUGUGUUGACUACAGGAGAAACUUGAGCCAACACCUGACCUUGGGCUAGCUCCCUCCUCACAUCUGCUUUGGAGAUUCCAGUCUCCUCCUGCCCAGGCCUGUCUCUUAGCAGGGCCAGCAGGAUGGGCUGGGGAAUUCCUGCACCCCAACAGCUGCGUCCCCAGCUCAGUACCUGGACAACAUGAAUCCACCCCCAUCGUCAAUAAGCGUCUUUCAGAGCUGCCAGCUCCCUCUGGGGAAAGCCCUUUCCACUCGUUCUUUGAGGCCCAAAGCUGAUUCUGGUCUAAUUAUAACUGUAUUCCCAGCAGGUGUGACACAAAGCAGGUGCAUAAUAAAGAUUCCUGGAUGGAUGACUCAA
ensembl:lncRNA LINC01298 long intergenic non-protein coding RNA 1298